AUAUCUAUAGCUGAGUGGUUGAGCACUGGUCUCGUAAAUCAGGAGUCGAGAGUUUGAUCCUCCCUGGAGGCA
rfam:Schistosoma mansoni, Puerto Rico, WGS project CABG01000000 data, contig: 0097